CACGUAGGGUGCAAGCGUUGUCCGGAAUCAUUGGGCGUAAAGAGCUCGUAGGCGGCUUAGUAAGUCGGGUGUGAAAACCCCAGGCUCAACCUGGGGACGCCACCCGAUACUGCUAUAGCUAGAGUCCAGUAGGGGAGUGUGGAAUUCCCAGUGUAGCGGUGAAAUGCGCAGAUAUCAGGAGGAACACCAAUGGCGAAGGCAGCUCGCUGGGACGGUACUGACGCUGAGGCGCGAAAGCGUGGGGAGCAAACAGG
rnacentral:rRNA from 1 species